CCUUAUGCGACCAUAAUCUGUGAACGCCAGCCGUAAUACCAAACCCAGAUGUAUAAAUCGUCAUGAAUACUGUAAAUAAAAGAUAAUAUUCAUCAAAACAUUUUCAGAAAAGUAUACAUCAUAAUUGAUUAAGAUGCUCCUGAUACAACUUUACAAAGAUGAAUAAUCUUCAAACGGAAGAAACAAAUUGUUAAUUACAUAUGAAAAUUGAGACGUUACAUUCGCCGUGUCACAGAGCAAUGCAACCGAAUGCAGAAAUCCGAGACACGAUAUCGUUAUCGCGGUUUAUUCUUCCGUUUUACUGGAUCCCCGCGCCAGCAGGAUGUAGGUGCCGGUUUUAAACGUCAGUGAUCGAAUGCAAACACGUAUGUUUACGUAACCCGUCUCAUUAUCAGGCUUUUCUCCUAAGUGCUUUCAUAACCAUGUGUGUUGCUACUGUCCUGUCAUUCAUUUUCCACGGCCAAUGUCGCGUGUGUGAUUCAACUUGCAGAAUAUAGAUAUACUCGACUGUGUGUGACGCAAAUUUAUUUCGAGCGUCUUGAUACUCGCACGUGCAUAAUGACGUUUAACACUGGCUUUCGCGGUACCGGCAACCGAUCUUUCAAUAAUAAUUAAUAAGAAAAUAACACGGUAAAAACGAAAUUACAAAAUUGUGUCAAGCAAUUAUAACAAAAAUAUGAUAAAUAUAAUAGCACAUAUAUAUAUAUAUAUAAAGUUUCAACACCAAUGUUUGUCCAUUAAUCCAUAUUCAGAAAGCUUCUAAAGAUGUUACGCUUUUUUAUUAUUCCAUUUUUGUUUUACUAAUAAAGACAGAAUGGUGAGAAAACGCCGUAAUAACUAACUGCUUUAUAAGCGCGUUCUGAAUAUAUUGUUUAUAAGAUAAAAAAUAAUUAUUACGAUUAUUUUCUCUCUCGACUAUCGACAUUCCAAUCUCGAGUAUAAGAAAAACUUUGUACAUAAUAGAGAUAAGACAUUUAUAAAUUGUUACAACGACAUAAUUUCGCUUGAAUGGAUUGCGUGCUCUCUUCUAUACAUACUGCAGGGCGUGGAAAAACGUGUUUAAAAAAUGACAGAUCCGCCUAUAGCAAAUGCUCGGUGUAGUACUCGGUCAAGUGUUACAGCGUCAGAAUUACAGCUGAUAUUAUUGUGAUUAACUCGCAAAUGACGUAAAAUUACCGGCACGACCUACAUUUUUGCGCUAUCAAUCACAAUUUACUUCCAAAGUUCUCAUAUUUCAAAAAUUGUUUUAUGGUAACAAACAAAAUAAUUAUAACAUUGACUCGUGCACUUAAGUGCUAGAAACGUUAAUUCGUGCACUUAAGUGCUAGAAAAUUUUUGAACAAAAAUAAAAAUAAAAAUAAAAGUUUUUUUUUAUGUGUACUAAACUUGAGUUAUAUUAGUUAUUAUUAUAAAGUGAUAAAAUAUAAUAUAAAUUAAAAAAAAUUUUAGCUAGAAAAUGGUAUGUAAUAAACAAAAUAAUGUUAGUUAUUCUCUUCUUAUUUAUUGUAAUAUGAUACGAAAUGGUAGCUUGUAAACUAAUUUGUAAACUCAAAUAUUUUAAUUAGAUUGCAAAAUUAAAUUCUAUGUAUGCAGAUUAUAUAAAUUUAUCUCCAUCUAUCUGAUAAGCAAUACCGAGAUUAUAAAUCGUAUUUUAAAGCGCGAGAACAAGUUCAAAUGUAUGCUAUAUUAUUUUAAAGAUGUAAAAAUAUUUAUGUCAAAAUUAUAAACCUUUACAGGGUGAUGUUUAAAUCUUUUCUUCAUAAAAAGUACGAGUCAGUAUUUCUAUUACAAUGUUGAAAUCAUAAAAAUUGGUGCAAUUAAA